rnacentral:misc_RNA from 1 species
GUAUUGUAAAAUGAUUGGAUAGGAUGUUAAGCAUGCAGGUGCAAAACACGUUUAAACAAUAAUGUUUUACAAAUUUGAAAUGAAUUUUGCUCUUAUUCAUUUUUUUUUUCUUUUUCCUAAGUUCUUCAUUGAUAUGGUAGGCACAUCUCCAUGAAUUCUUAUUGUUUAAUCCAAUACUAAAACUUUUAUUUGUUUCUUGGUGUUUUUGGGACCUUAAGACCUUGGCUUAUACCAAAGGAGUUGGUGGCUAGGGUUGAAUCACAAUCAUAGCUGAAUGGUAAUUGGGUGUUAUGUGUUUUUUUUUCUUUUUUCAUUAUUUCCUUAUUUUAUUCUUUGUUACCUUAAUUGCUUUUAAUUCUAGUAAGUAUAGAAAUGGUAAGUCCAAUAUGGCAAGUGGACAAAUAUGGUAAGAACCCAAAUAAGGAAAGAGAUCUUUUCAAAUAAGGCAAGUGAAUCAAAACCAAUAAGGAAACCCUAAACGCAUUAAAGUGUGGAUCAAGGCCUAAAUAGGACAUCAAGACCCUUGCAUGGGGAAAUAGACCAAUGGGCAUUAUAAUAGAAUUGUACUUUUAAUUUAAGGUAUUUUGGGUUUGUAAUCUUUUCUUUUCCUUCCUUUCUUUUAAUUGUAGGUUAAAGGGUUGUAAUCUUUAUCUCCCCGCACCCCCCCUCCUUUUUUUGGAUGUUUUACUUUACUACAAUAUAACCAAUAUGUAAUUAACUUACUAAUUAUUGCAUUUUCAUUCAUGUUUAGUUAGUUAA